UAUAUAUAUAGUGAACUAAAAUAGACCAGCAGGAUAUGUUUGAUUGCAUUUCAUAUUUCCAAUGAAUUCGAGUAAUGAAAUAUUAAAUAUUUAAUACGUUGAUAAUGUCUACAGGUGGUUGUUCCUUCUAUUAUACUUCUGGUCUAAUGGUCUAAUGAAAAAUAUGUGAAAAUAUCCAUCUCGAAAGCAAGCACGAGCCAUCGGCAAGCAAGUGCAACCAAGAAUGCAGUUAAACUGUAAGACGUUUAAUUGACGUAAGACUAUGGCAACGUUACGGAUGCACUUUAUCGAUCAAUGCGCAUUCGGCAUUCUUUACCCUUACCGUCCUCAUCACUUCAUCUGCAAAGCACAGUCAGCAGCAAAAGCAGCCGGGAGCUGAGAACGCUGUGAGGUCGUCGUUCCUCCGAAAGCCGCAUUAUUUCAACAGCGGAAAAGUAGCGAAAGGAAACAAAUAAAAAGUAAAUAAAAAAGUGCGCUCUGCACCAGUGCCAGCAAACUGACGAAGUGGUGCACAGAGCGGCAACGAAAUGCACUGCCACCAAACGAAAACAGAAGAAUAGAAACUGGAAUCCUCCUUGUUGUGUGCCACCCGUUUUUUUUUUUCGUUCCCGUACGGUUAUACCUAUAUUUUUAUUUUUAUUUAUUCAUCUCUCCGUUCGUCGAGAAAUUCCAGCCAGCAGAAGGAGGAUGCAGAAGAUAGGAAGGUGUAUAGACACCGCGCAUUCCAGCGGGAAAUAAUCUGCUGAGAAGUAGGUGCAGGGAAUCGUUCCGCGGUGAGUUAGUUCGCGGCGGUUCUAACUUCCAGUUCCACCGGCGACAAUAGCAGAGAUGCUGUGCGCUGUUUAAUUUUUCUUCUUCUUUCACUGGCAAGCUGGCUUCACCAUUUUAUCCCGCUGCAGCGGUGCAGCGAGUGGUGAAUGUUUUGUUGUUUUUUUUCUUUUCUUGCUGCAUCCCUUUCCCACACUGACUUCUACAAUUUCAGCCGCGCGCUCUAGAACAGAUCCAAGAAACCGAACUGCACAUAUCAUUUGCUGUCACUCGGCACUGGACGAAGAAAGGGAACAAAAGCCCACACACCUUUCAUCCAAACUAUGCAUUUCCUUCUUGGAAAGCUUCCACUGCCCGAGCUGCGGUGCAAUGUUUUGUUUGGUCUGUCAUCUUCCGCUUCUGGUGGUGGGGUUAGAUUUGUUUUCUAUUUUUUAUUUUGUUUUGUUUCGCUACAUUCUGAAACUCAUUUUCCGAUGCGCUUUUGUAUAAUGAAUAGUUGUGCAUUGUUCUAGAGUUCUAGAGGAAAAGCAAGAGGAAAAAAAAGGAAAGCAAGAGACAAGAGCAACAGCAAAUAGUGUGUCCCUAGUAUGCAUCAGUCAAUAAAACAUUCUUGAUUCCUUGCCUUUUUCCACCCUUGCCAUACUUUUGGUUUUGUUUCUACCUUGCUCUUUUCCUCUUGCCAUAGGGCUACUGAUCUGCAAGAACAGGUUGAAGGGAUUGUCACAAACGGAGGAAGCACCACAUCAUCCAGCCCAGUGCUGGUGCCGGAGCGAGCUCGGAAAGUUGUUUUCUCGCAGCGCAGGGUGGUUCCGUGUACCUGGAGCACGGAGUACGUAGAAGCCACAGCACAGCACAAACAUCGAGGUCUAAACGAUUCGAAAUAGGAAUGCAUUCCUCAGCCAGGAGAAGAGGUGGGUGCAUCUUACCGAUUGUGUGCGUUUGUGUUGGUGCAGUUCGUUGGUACGGCGUUCGCAGUGGCGGUACACGAUCGUUUUAUGUACGAUCACUCUUCCAGGAAGGUAGUGGUCUGCAACGGUCUAACCACAAACCUGGUUCCUGGAGUCGCUUGCGAUUGGAAUUUGGCGCUAUAAGGAAGUGUGUACUUGCGUGUUGUUUUGUAUGCCGUGUUUGUCACCGUGGUGCAAAAAAGUGUAACAAGUGAGCAGGAUAGAACAAUUUCUAACACAAGACGUUUGAUCUUCCAUGAAUGGCGCAAUUCUGAGAGAUCAACUGUGAUACGAAGAAUUAACUGCUUCCACCGAAUUUGAUGUUCAAUAGUACUAAUAGAGUUUGUGAACGGAAGGUAUGUGAUGAGCAGACAUUGAAAAGAAGAAAAAGCAAGGAUUGAUUAUUCAUUUUCGAGAAGGAUAUUGUUGAAUGAAUGUUGAACCGGGUGAUACAAAUUGACCUCUUUUAGGUACUUUUUCAUCUUUCUGGGUGUUCGGAAGAUAUUUUGCGUAAAAUCUUCAACAAUUACGUACAUUGUUAGAAUUGUACAGUGUGAAAAAACUGGAAGAAUGCAAUUACAAGAUACUAAAUCCCCUCACAAUAUGUUUAUUAUCAAAAAGAGUUCUACAAAAGAGGCGUCAAAUCUCCUGCAACUCAUUACUGUUCGCACAAUCACAUUCAUGACCACGCCCGGCCCUUCAGCAGUGCACUGUACUGCAAAGGUUUGAUUUUUUUAGAGGUUCGCAUCCUUUUCCACACCGAAAAACGCCCUGUCGAGAGGAGCAGCACACAGCAACGGGCCGGAGGAAAAGAAGAUUUCUUGUGUACACCCACCGCUCCGGGUCCUGUGACGAUAUCCUGUUGGAGCAACAGCAGGACAUGCGCGUAAUAUCUUCACCUGCGGUACGCGCCACCAGCAAACGUCUAGCCGGAUGACGACAUCGGAGCGACCCAUCUGCGAACAAAAUCGCGCUUGAAUUAUUCGGGAUCAGGUUCGGGAGUUGGCAGCGCCCCGAAAGCCAUUGCUUCACACAGAGAGUCGUCCUCACAAUCCGUACGCCAAAUAUUUGCCCGCUUUCAAAAUAGCUUAUUAUCCGGAGCUAUUUUUACUUUUUUGGAUUUUGUUUCUAGGCUUACCGUGUACCACAUCACAGUUCCAGCUGCUUUGGUAAGACACAGCCCUACCCGGCAAAGUUGCGGCGGGCCUUGAAUUCAAUAAAAAUGGAGUUUUAAUUCACCAAAGCA